CCGUGCUAGGCGGGGAGUCAGCGGUGCCCUGUAACCCGCAAUCCGCUAUAGCGGGGCUGAAUUCCCUUUUGAGAUCCCGACGCCUUCUCACAUCACCGGCCCGGAGCGUUGAAGGCCAGGGCCUGCGCGACGGCGGCCUGUGAACCCCGUCAGGACCGGAAGGUAGCAGCGGUAAGCGGUCACUGCCGGGCGCCGCAGAACCACCUGGCCUGAGCCACCAGUCGGUCGAGGGGGGAGGGCUAGGCGACCGAGGAAGGGUGCGCGG
rnacentral:SRP_RNA from 1 species